GGCAUGUCAUGGGUGCUCUUCUGGAUCAAAAUGUGACUGCAGUGGUAUAAAAGGAGAAAAGAUUGGUCACAUUUGCCACAUAUACUGUACCUUGAAUGGUUUUGUGAAGAGCUGUGCCAAAUAUCAACUUUGAGGACUUGCCCGAGACGUGUGAUGACAACUACCUGGGAUGACACUACCUUACUUACCUGCUUCGUCUCCUGAUGUCCCACAUUACUUAGCUAUGGCAAACAAAUCUGGGAACCUCUGUCCAUGGAGUUUUAUGGGCUAGCUGCAUUUAAAAGGAACAUGGGGUUCCAGAAGGCUGAAGCUGUGUGCAGUUUUAAGGUCAGAUCAUGAAGGCAAUUCAGAGCAAAAGUCUCCUCAUUCUUCAGAAUCAAGACAGAAAGAAAAUCUCCUCAUCACCUAAGCUCCCCGCCUCAUACUGACAGGCAAUCCAAGGAGCUUUGGAUUUCAAAUCAGAGCACUUGUCUUUGCUAAGAUGGCAAAUUCUUUCUACACAGAACUCUACCCAGAAGUUUGCAGCCCAGGACUUGAAACCUGAAAUGUGAGCUAGCUGGAUUGUGGAGAAAGAAGAGGAAUGCAGCAACCUGAUGAUGUUUCUUUCAUGGGGAGUAACCCAAUCUGCUCUCUGUACAGGUCCUUGGUUGAUAUACCUUGGCCUUUAUACUGUAGAGCCCUCAAAAUGAGCUUAUAUGGGGUUCACAUUCUCCAUUUCUUUGAAGUUUUGGGAUCCCACAAAGGUAAAAAUCCAUACACUGCUGCUUAUUUUUCAGUGUGUUAACUCCUUAACUCUUUUUGAGUAAAAGCUGUGUCUUUUAUAAAUGGUUAUAACUGUCCAGACAGUUGCACUGAGUUAGAUAGAUGAUAGACACAUGGGGUCAGCAUAAACAUGCUGACUUCUACUCAGCAAUGCCUCCAACCCCCAAGAUUGUCUUCCCCCUGUGAGGACACAGUCACCAUGGGCUGGAAAGUGUUCUUCAUUUAAAAAGCCAAACUGAUUUCACUCGUACAAUAUACAAUAUACAAUACACGAUAUACAAUAUACAUUAUAUAAUAUACAAGAGCAAAGAUGAAAAUCAUUUCAGUACAUACUCCCAGUGGGAAGUGGGCAGAAGUAUACUACAGGUACUGCAAUCACUAAUGGGAGUGGACUGCAAAGUAACGUGAAUUAAUUCAAACAUGGGAGGUGUGCCUUCUUAUAAAAGAAAUCCAUUACAGCAAUGCAACCACAGAUGUCUGGGGACACAAUUGUUUUGUUCUGGUUGUCUCCUGGCAGAAUGCCAAACAACAACGUAAUAAGCUUAUUCCUCUUGGUGUUUUUAUUGUUUAAAUAUUGGAUUAACUGCUCUAUCUCCACUAUUAAUUGCCAUGUAGUAAUUUUGUACAGGGGCUGAAUAAAACUUCAUAGAUGGCUGAAUAAAAUUCCAGUGUGUGCAUGUGUGUAUGUGCACAUAUGUAUAUGUGUGUGUGCAUGUGUAUAUGUGCAUAUAUGUAUAUGUGUGUGUGUGUGCAUGUGUAUGUGUGCAUCACAUU